CAAGAUCUUUUUCUCCAGUGGGGACUGUUGGCCUGCAGCAAUCCUAGAGUCUUUAGAUGCUUUAGCCCAGGCCAAU
ensembl:misc_RNA